CGUACACUCCUGCGGGAGGCAGCAGUGGGGAAUAUUGGACAAUGGGCGCAAGCCUGAUCCAGCCAUGCCGCGUGAGUGAUGAAGGCCCUAGGGUUGUAAAGCUCUUUCACCGGUGAAGAUAAUGACGGUAACCGGAGAAGAAGCCCCGGCUAACUUCGUGCCAGCAGCCGCGGUAAUACGAAGGGGGCUAGCGUUGUUCGGAUUUACUGGGCGUAAAGCGCACGUAGGCGCACUAUUAAGUCAGGGGUGAAAUCCCGGGGCUCAACCCCGGAACUGCCUUUGAUACUGGUAGUCUUGAGUUCGAGAGAGGUGAGUGGAAUUCCGAGUGUAGAGGUGAAAUUCGUAGAUAUUCGGAGGAACACCAGUGGCGAAGGCGGCUCACUGGCUCGAUACUGACGCUGAGGUGCGAAAGCGUGGGGAGCAAACAGGAUUAGAUACCCGUGUAGUCCCAUGA
rnacentral:rRNA from 1 species